GACAGAGGGUGCAAACGUUGUUCGGAAUUACUGGGCGUAAAGCGCGUGUAGGCGGCUAAGCAAGUCGGGCGUGAAAUCCCAUGGCUCAACCAUGGAAGUGCACCCGAAACUGCAUAGCUAGAGUCCUGGAGAGGAAGGUGGAAUGCUUGGUGUAGAGGUGAAAUUCGUAGAUAUCAAGAGGAACACCUGCGGCGAAGGCGGGUUGCUGGGCCGACACUGACGCUGAGGCGCGAAAGCCAGGGGAGCGAACGGG
rnacentral:rRNA from 1 species